rnacentral:lncRNA from 1 species
UACCUGAAGCCUUCUGAUGUGGUGUGGUGUUGCUCUGUGCCUAAUGCAUGAACACUGCUAUUCACAGAUGUGGUCAGACUGGAACCAAACAAUAUUAUUACAAAGUAGUUAUAGCUGAAAAACUGAUAGUCUUUUGUGAAAAACUUAAUCAAAUAUCCCACUGUCUUGGACUUUGGAGACAGUUAACCUAUGCCAGAUGAAGCCAGCAGGCAACAGGGGGUGCAAAUAUUAAUGCUUGGCAGAGGGAGAUGGGGGACAAAAGCUGCAGUGAGAAACACUGGCCUCAACACAAGCAUGAAUAGAUGGUUUCUAAAUUACUACCUCGUUACCGGGACUGAGCAAUUGGAUAUUGAUCUGCCUUUCAGAGCUGUUUUAGUUUUAAACCAAAAAUUCAGACUCCUGGUAUUAGCACAGACGUGAAGAUGGAAUCAGCUUCUGGAUUUUUGAAUUUAGAUUGUACUUCUACCUGGUAGGAGACAAUAUUUCC